rnacentral:rRNA from 1 species
AGAAUCAACGCUGGCGGCGUGCCUAACACAUGCAAGUCGAACGAGAAAGUGGAGCAAUCCAUGAGUAAAGUGGCGCACGGGUGAGUAACACGUGACUAACCUACCUUUUAGUGGGGGAUAACCUAGGGAAACCUGGGCUAAUACCGCAUAAUACUUACGAGUCAAAGCAGCAAUGCGCUGAAAGAGGGGGUCGCGGUCGAUUAGUUAGUUGGCAGGGUAAUGGCCUACCAAGACUGUGAUCGAUAUCCGGCCUGAGAGGGCGCACGGACACACUGGAACUGAAACACGGUCCAGACUCCUACGGGAGGCAGCAGUGGGAAUUUUGCGCAAUGGGGGAAACCCUGACGCAGCAACGCCGCGUGGAGGAUGAAGUCCCUUGGGACGUAAACUCCUUUCGAUCGGGACGAUAAUGACGGUACCGGAAGAAGAAGCCCGGCUAACUUCGCGCCAGCAGCCGC